UACGUAGGGGGCUAGCGUUGUCCGGAAUCAUUGGGCGUAAAGCGCGUGUAGGCGGUCCGGUAAGUCCGCUGUGAAAGUCGGGGGCUCAACCCUCGGAUGCCGGUGGAUACUGUCGGGCUUGAGUACGGAAGAGGAUCGCGGAAUUCCCGGUGUAGAGGUGAAAUUCGUAGAUAUCGGGAGGAACACCGGUGGCGAAGGCAGGUCACUGGGCCGCAACUGACGCUGAGGAGCGAAAGCAUGGGGAGCGAACAGG
rnacentral:rRNA from 1 species